rnacentral:rRNA from 1 species
UACGUAGGGUGCAAGCGUUGUCCGGAAUUAUUGGGCGUAAAGGGCUCGUAGGCGGUUUGUCGCGUCGGGAGUGAAAACUCAGGGCUUAACCCUGAGCCUGCUUCCGAUACGGGCAGACUAGAGGUAUGCAGGGGAGAAUGGAAUUCCUGGUGUAGCGGUGAAAUGCGCAGAUAUCAGGAGGAACACCGGUGGCGAAGGCGGUUCUCUGGGCAUUACCUGACGCUGAGGAGCGAAAGUGUGGGGAGCAAACAGG